AUACUUCCCCGGGCACAGGGAUACCGUGAUCACGAAAGGGGUUUUCCCAGGGCGAGGCUCCCCUUGCACCCGGGGGUGCUGCCCCCUGCGAAAAACCAAAGUUUUUAACUCGGUGCGAAAUUUUGUUAGGGGGGGACUGCUUUUCGCGACCCCCCU